UGCUACUGGUCCUGGUUAACACGUUAAAGGAUAGUAAUUUUUUUUUCUUAAAUUUUUUGGUAUUCUUAACCCCGAAGAUUUUAUUUUGGUUUUAAGUUUUAAUUUUUGUCUUUUUUAUAUACAUUUAUAUUUUAGAUUAAGUAAGUAGUAGAUAGAAUUAAAUAUUCUUUAUAUAGAGAUUUAGAAACGCAGAUUAGUACUAAUAAAAUUUGUGCCAGCAAUUGCGGUUAUACAAAUAAUGCAAUUAAAACUUCUUAGUUAAUAAUUAAUUGCUAUAUGAUAUAAGUUAAUUUUUAAUUAUUAUAGGUGAAAUUAAAUAAUUAAUUAAGUUUUUUAUUAAUUAAUGAUUUUUGUUUAGGUUUUUAGUAGACUAGGAUUAGAUACCCUAUUAUUUUAACGAAGAGAUUAAUUAUCUUAUUAUUAUAUUAUAUGUUAGUAAAAAGUAAAAAAAUUUGGCGGCAUUUUAAUCUAUUCAGAGGAACCUGUUUCGUAAUUGAUAGUCCACAAUUAGCUUGACUUGCAUUUUUAGCUUGCAUAUCGUCGUUUAUUAAGCAUUUUAAUUGAAUUUUAAUGUUUAAUUAAUUUAAUUAUAUAAAAUGUCAGAUCAAGGUACAGUUUAUAUGCAAGGGAUUAAUGGGUUACAUUUAAGAAAUUAUUAGUUUUAAAUUUUAAGGGGUUUAAUUAAAUUGGAUUUGAAAGUAAAUUGGUUUGUAUAAACUUAUUGAUUAAGUUAUAAAAUGUGCACAUAUUGCCCGUCGCUUUCGUUAAUAAUAUGGAAUAAGUCGUAACAAAGUAGAUGUACUGGAAAGUGCAUCUAGAAA
rnacentral:ncRNA from 1 species